rnacentral:rRNA from 1 species
AUGAAGAUCAGCGAGUUGACUCCUGGCCUAGUUGCAGAAACAUUGGGAGCAAGAUUUGAUGUCAACUUUAUCUCCCAGCUGGUUGGACUGUCAAGUGCAGAGCUGAUGGGGUUUGCUAGUCGAUCGAGCCUCAGAUGGAUGCCGACAAGGUGCUUCACUUGGUCUAGCGAAAGGGAGAAUGUCACUCUCAUGAAGAUUGAUGGGGUGCUGGCUUGGGCUAAGGAGGUCAAAUCAUGGGACCCCAUCAGGGUCUUGCACACCAAGCUAGCAAGGACAGCAAGGGCACUGAAUAUGUUGAACAAGAACAAGAUGAAAUGGACUGUUUUCAUGUCAGGGAUAAGAGAGGGACAUGCAAGCACACGCUUUUUCCACCUAAAGGCAUGUAGGCGCCGUAAGAACCACAUCCCGCUACUCAAUGGGAGGGAUGGGCCAAUCUCUGACCACGCUGGGAAGGCUGUGCGGGAGGACCUUGUUGCGCUGCAUGCCGUUCUAGAGCUGUCUGGGAAGGCUUCGGGGUUAGAAACAAACAUGGCAAAGAUAGUGGCAUACCCUAUUUCAUGCUCAGAGUUGAAAUUGCAACCUAUAUUGGCAAAGUUUGGUAUUCUGCAAGGGAACCUUCCAUGUCGCAAGUUGUUGCAAAGAAAAGGCAGGCUCCUUAAUAGGAUGGGAAGGCUGGUUUAUGUCAACUCGGUGGUCAUGGCAACAACAACAUACUUCUUAACAGCCUUUCCACUGAACAAGUGGCUAAUCAAAAAAGUGGACAAGCUGCGGAUCAACUUUCUUUGGGAGGCCAAAGAUGGGAACAUCGGAGGGAAAAGCCUAAUAAAUUGGAGCCAGAUUUGCUCGCUGAAAAAAUAUGGCAGUUUGGGAGUCAAAAACAUUGAGUGCUUCAACCGAGCUAUGCGUAUGCGAUGGGAAUGGUUCAGGUGGGAUGAGGCGGACAAACCAUGGAAGGGUACAAUGACGCCUUGCGAUGAGGCAGACAAGCAACUUUUUCAAGCUGCACUAAGAUUCAAUUGGGGGAUGGUGGUGUGGUUGUGUUCCGGAGGGACCGAUGGCUCAACGGUGAAUCUCCUUCCUCGGUGGCACCGGGUUGUUCAAGAUGGCCCAAUUCAAGAAGAACACUAUCAAGGAUGCGUUGCAAAAUGGUCGGUGGGAGUGGUCCUAAUGGAGGAUAAAGACCGGAUCCAAUUGACGCUAACUGCCAACGGAGCUGGGACCGCGGAUCCAAUCACACUGUGCUGCUACUUUAUGAAGGAGGAUUUCAUCCAGCUGCAAGUACCAAACGGGUGGAUGACAUUGGUGGCUUCCUCGGCGCCAUCCAUUGUGGAUUGGUGGUCACGGCUAUGCUCCGACCAUGGGGCAAAGGACAAGACCAAGGAGGAGAUCAACGGGGCAGAUUACACCGUUUGGAAUGUAUGGAAGGAGAGGAACCACAGGAUCUUCGACCAGAAAGCGUUAACGGCCAUGGCACUUCCUGGGCUGAUUAGGGAUGAGGUGAAGACCUUCUAUGAGGCCAACAAGAUGAUUCACGCUGUGGGAUAA